GCAAGAUCUGUUUCACGUCAAAGUCUUUCCUGGGAUUCGACAUUCCCGAAACUCCGGUAACGGGAGACGCGGGGACGGAACGACGAGCCUCGUGAUCCGCGAUUGUCUUGGUAAUGUGGGAACUACGCAUAUCCAGAUGCAGUCAAGCUGUCAUGCUACAGAUCAAGAAUAAAUAUCAGGAGAGCAUGAUACUGUAUAUAACUACUGGUGUAAACACUGUUUAAUUGUAAAUCUGUUUAUAAAUGGACACUCUUUCAUUAGUAAUUAAAAAUCUAUAAUGAGGUC